AACCUCCCAGGAUCAUAUCUGGAGCUAGUAUAAUGACUCCCUCAGAGUCAGGAGGGAAAGCAAGCCUGACUGAGGUACCCAUUUUAUUCCCAGUUUACUUAGUACCUGGUGAUUGGAAGACAUUCUGCAACAGAG
ensembl:snoRNA